rnacentral:rRNA from 1 species
AUUGAACGCUGGCGGCAGGCUUAACACAUGCAAGUCGAGCGGGCGAGGUUGCUUCGGUAACUGAGCUAGCGGCGGACGGGUGAGUAAUGCUUAGGAAUCUGCCUAUUUGUGGGGGACAACAUUCCGAAAGGAAUGCUAAUACCGCAUACGCCCUACGGGGGAAAGCAGGGGAUCUUCGGACCUUGCGCUAAUAGAUGAGCCUAAGUCAGAUUAGCUAGUUGGUGGGGUAAAGGCCUACCAAGGCGACGAUCUGUAGCGGGUCUGAGAGGAUGAUCCGCCACACUGGGACUGAGACACGGCCCAGACUCCUACGGGAGGCAGCAGUGGGGAAUAUUGGACAAUGGGCGCAAGCCUGAUCCAGCCAUGCCGCGUGUGUGAAGAAGGCCUUUUGGUUGUAAAGCACUUUAAGCGAGGAGGAGGCUACUUGGAUUAAUACUCUAGGAUAGUGGACGUUACUCGCAGAAUAAGCACCGGCUAACUCUGUGCCAGCCGCCGCCGUAAUAC